UACGUAGGGGCUAGCGUUGUCCGGAAUCAUUGGGCGUAAAGAGCGUGUAGGCGGCCCGGUAAGUCCGCUGUGAAAGUCGGGGGCUCAACCCUCGAAUGCCGGUGGAUACUGUCGGGCUAGAGUGCGGAAGAGGCGAGUGGAAUUCCUGGUGUAGCGGUGAAAUGCGCAGAUAUCAGGAGGAACACCGGUGGCGAAGGCGGAUCUCUGGGCCGUAACUGACGCUGAGGAGCGAAAAGCAUGGGGGAGCGAAACAGG
rnacentral:rRNA from 1 species